rnacentral:rRNA from 1 species
CGAGCACGGGAGUAGCAAUACAACUGGUGGGCGACCGGCGCACGGGUGAGUAACGCGUAUGCAACCUACCUAUCAGAGGGGAAUAACCCGGCGAAAGUCGGACUAAUACCGCAUAAAACAGGGGCACGCAUGGUGAUAUUUGUUUAAAGAAAUUCGCUGAUAGAUGGGCAUGCGUUCCAUUAGGUAGUUGGUGAGGUAACGGCUCACCAAGCCGACGAUGGAUAGGGGAACUGAGAGGUUGGUCCCCCACACUGGUACUGAGACACGGACCAGACUCCUACGGGAGGCAGCAGUGAGGAAUAUUGGUCAAUGGGCGGGAGCCUGAACCAGCCAAGUCGCGUGAAGGAAAGAAGGAUCUAUGGUUCGUAAACUUCUUUUGCAGGGGAAUAAAGUGCAGGACGUGUCCUGUUUUGUAUGUACCCUGAGAAUAAGGAUCGGCUAACUCCGUGCCAGCAGCAGC